UCCAGACUCCUACGGGAGGCAGCAGUGGGGAAUAUUGGGCAAUGGGCGCAAGCCUGACCCAGCAACGCCGCGUGAAGGAGGAAGGCUUUCGGGUUGUAAACUUCUUUUAAGAGGGAAGAGCAGAAGACGGUACCUCUUGAAUAAGCCACGGCUAACUACGUGCCAGCAGCCGCGGUAAUACGUAGGUGGCAAGCGUUGUCCGGAUUUACUGGGUGUAAAGGGCGUGCAGCCGGGAGUGCAAGUCAGAUGUGAAAUCCCGCGGCUCAACCGCGGAACUGCAUUUGAAACUGUUGGUCUUGAGUAUCGGAGAGGCAGGCGGAAUUCCUAGUGUAGCGGUGAAAUGCGUAGAUAUUAGGAGGAACACCAGUGGCGAAGGCGGCCUGCUGGACGACAACUGACGGUGAGGCGCGAAAGCGUGGGGAGCAAACAGGAUUAGAUACCCCCGUA
rnacentral:rRNA from 1 species